UUUCGGUAUUUGAAGUUUUGUUUCAGAAACCAAAACGAAAAAACGAUAUUUAAAAGAAUUUUCAUUUUUUUAAUUUUUGAUAAAGAAUAAAAUGGGCGAAAAUAACUUGUUUUUUCAUUCGGUGGUAACAAAUAGCCGUCAUACACUUAAAAUUAGACGUGCUUUUUUGGAUUUCUUCGUGAUUCAAAUAAUGAAAGUAUACUAGCGCAAAAACAAAAAAAUAGACGCAUUUUCAAUGUCUGAAACGGGAAGUACUUCUUCUGCGCGUUUUUUUAUGGCGCGCGCACACCGUCCCCCACACAAGAGAUCGACGGCCUUAAAGUUACACUGGAAUAAACAGAGGAUGGACCAUUACGUUGUUUUUAGGAAAACUAAGAGAGUGACACUCCGGGACGAAGACAUGACUGCAGAAAAACUGGGUCGCAUCUUUCAGGUAUCCGCGCAUACUCUGUACAUCACGGAUGAUUCAAACGUGGCUAUGUUCCCGGUGCGGUCUCUGGUGUUUUCAGCGCAUUAGACCUUACACCCAGAGGUCACUAUGAAGUCCACGGAGAAGACAUGGAGUCAAUUCCAACAGCAGGUUCCAGCGGGCAGCGUUUUGCAUUUAUGCGAGCACCAGCUGUGGCAGCGUCUGCACCUUCACGUUCACAGCAGGCUACUUCAAGUUCCCCUAUGUCCUCCAAAACAUUUCAGAGAUCAGUGUACUUUGCAGAUGUAGUUGGUGGGAGGUUGAUUCCCAAUAGAAUGGUGGUUGUACGAUUCCUGGAGUCUGAGGCUACGCUUCAAGGGAUAGUAGGAAAAGUGCAAGAUGCCAUUGGUAAUUACAACCCAAUAAUUUUGACAGAUGCACAGGGCAAUGCAAUUCUGGAGUCGGAGGGCACAACAGGGUCACAGUACUGGAGACAAAAUGCACGAAAAAUUCUUGCUGUGCCUGAACAAGACUUUAAUUGCCUCCAGGGAACAAAGAGGAAGAAACUGAGCAGCCGUAAAGAUGAUGACAGUGCCAGUUUGGGAGAAGUGAGUGACAAAAUAGAAGAGUUGGUGUUGGCAUCUCAAAGUCUGCCAGCUGUCACAGCAGCAAUCAAAGAGCUCACUGAUCUUGCAGUUGCCCAGAAAGUCACAACCCCAAGCUGCAGACACUCAAGGAGGGAUUUAGCUGCGUGGUUUGUAUGAACAUCAUUGAGGAUCCAGUGUUCUCACUGUGCUGCAGAAGCAUUAUUGGCUGCAAGACAUGUGUGGAACAGUGGCAAGAGACAUCACAGCACUGUGCAAAAUGCAGGGAGAGUAACAACGGAGUUCUACAAAUUACUGGUCUAACAGCUGCAUUUUCUGUAUUGAAAUCUUUUUUUGCAGAGGAGUAAUGUAGUGUGUACACACAAAUGUUUACAGUCAGUUGAUUUUUUUUUUGUCUGUUCUGUACAGUUUACAGAUGCAGUGGUUCAUACAUUUCUCUGAGUUAUGUUUAUGAGACAGAGCAGAGCUUCUUUGUAUGGCAUAAAGUCACCAUUUACGGCUCUAAAAAACAAAUGUGAAAUAUCAGGAUAUUUUUCUGCAAAAUGACU
ensembl:lncRNA